rnacentral:tRNA from 1 species
GGCCUCGUAGCUCAGCUGGUAGAGCAUACGCGGCGUCCAUGCGUAGGUUCCAAUCCCACCGAGGCUA